GACGAACGCUGGCGGCGUGCUUAACACAUGCAAGUCGAACGGAAAGGCCCUGCUUUUGUGGGGUGCUCGAGUGGCGAACGGGUGAGUAACACGUGAGUAACCUGCCCUUGACUUUGGGAUAACUUCAGGAAACUGGGGCUAAUACCGGAUAGGAGCUCCUGCUGCAUGGUGGGGGUUGGAAAGUUUCGGCGGUUGGGGAUGGACUCGCGGCUUAUCAGCUUGUUGGUGGGGUAGUGGCUUACCAAGGCUUUGACGGGUAGCCGGCCUGAGAGGGUGACCGGCCACAUUGGGACUGAGAUACGGACCAGACUCCUACGGGAGGCUGCAGUGGGGAAUAUUGCACAAUGGGCGGAAGCCUGAUGCAGCAACGCCGCGUGCGGGAUGACGGCCUUCGGGUUGUAAACCGCUUUCGCCUGUGACGAAGCGUGAGUGACGGUAAUGGGUAAAGAAGCACCGGCUAACUACGUG
rnacentral:rRNA from 1 species